CAUUUAUUCCAUAUACAAAUUACAUGUGCACAAAAAUCUUCCAAUAAUCGACGUUUCUUGAAAAAGACCCUAUAGGGGUCGAUACGUCGAUUAUUGGAAGAUUUUUGUGCACAUGUAAUUUGCAUAUGGAAUAAAUG